UGUUUGAGAAAACCUCAUGGAUGCUGCUUAUGGAAUCUGCUAUAUGAACGAUUUGCAGAACUUCGAAAUUUUUAAACCAAUUCAGUGUGGCACUGCAUCUUAGCGUGUUGCAUAAGAGGGCUAAAGGAGCAACAGCUGAUCUUUAUUCAUUGGUGCAUCAGAUUUUUUUUAGUAGCUAUGGACACCACAAAAAUAUAAGGAAACAGAGUGUAACCCCGGUAUCUGUCUGAUUGUAGUUGCUUCAUCUGUUACUGUGGAUUAAAUUGGAUUAGAUUGGUAAGUUUUAUUUAUUUUUUAUUUAGGCUUUGAGAAAUAUAUAUUCACACAAUGCAUGGGUUUUCUGUGUCUUGAUGAGGUCUCUGUCUGCUUAUUUGAAGUAUUCAGUAACUUUUGGUAGAUAGUCUGAGGCUAUCCAGCUUCUCUUACAACCAAAUUUUUUGAAGUGAGCUUGUGUUAUUCCCUUCUUUUAUCUUUUUUAAAUUUGUUUGAUGGAGCAGACUGAAACUGCAGAAGUAAAUUCAGCAGGAGAUUGAGGAGAAACUAGUUACUGACUGCCGAUGGCCCACUUUUUUGGUUAGGCAUUUGAACUUUCUCUCUUUUGCAAAUGCUACAGAUUAUUUCCUGAAAGAUGAAAUAUUUUCUAAAGCCAAUGGAAGUGACAGUGCAUUAGAGAUGCUCAUGUGGGGUCAAUCUGUUGGUUAGGUAUGCUCUUCUUAAGUUAAGAUGCUGCACCGGUCAAGCUUUGGUCAAGGAGAGCGUCUGGGGAUAAACGCGCUCCAAGAAGACUAAGAAUGAUGCUUGAAUGUAAGUACUAGUCUGAGGUCGAAUAGAUGGUUUUCUUUUUAGAGCUUGUGAGGCCACAGUCUAUCUUUAUCGACUUUACAAAGGUCCACUCUUCACUUGCAAGUUGCAACUCGAGCUGUUGAUUCUUUUCUUUUCUCUUCUUUUAUCUUUUGGUUUGGGGGUUAGUUUUUCACCCAACAUUCUUUUCUUCAGUUUCUAUGCGAAGGUGAUGGUGAAUUGUACUAAUAGCUUGUUUGAGCUCUGUCCUUUUACAGAUCACUAACCCUAACUGGUGAAGGUACACUUCUUCCUAAAGUCACUCUCUGUUCAUGUGGCUCUCAUGGUCUGCAAAUUGAAACAUGGGAGAAGAGUUAUCCUUUGGUAUAUUUUUACUAUAUCCAUUACUUUUCACUUCUGUUGAUAUUGUUAAGUUGAAGCUCCAAAUAGUUCCUGCAUGGUAUUGUUGAUCUUUGGUUUGUGGUGGAUAUAUGCCAUAAUGGUACGCAACUCUAUCAGGAUACAAUUCUUGGAUAGAUGAGAAUGACACUUGAGUGUAGCCUACCAAUAGUUUAUUGUCAUCAAGAUUUGAGAA